UGAAGAAGGUACUACUGCAUGAUGACCUGUGCCAACUACUAGAACGCCUCCGAAACAGUGGACAAAAACUCUAAAUCAUUUUUUGCUAUUGUAGGGGAACUGUUGAGUCAUGGCCUGAACCACUGAUUGAGCACCUGGGGAAGGGACCCUGUCAGCCCUGGGAGCACAGGUGAAGGCAAUUCAGCUGUGUGACCUGAAGGGGUGGGACCCUGGCUGCACCUCUCUUAGACUCCAUUUAAGGGCUGACUGCCACUGAGGAAGGAUCUUUUCCUGGAUUUCUCCCUUGUGAAGUUUUCCCUGCAAGCCUAGAUCUUCAGACAUGGAUUGCUAGCUGGCCACCUGCUUUACCUCCUGGAGGAAGAGAGGGCUUUCAUUUACUGGUGAUUUCCCACUCCAUUACUUUACACUUAUGAGUGGAAUAUAGGAGGUCAGGCAAUUGAUUUGCCUACCCAAGUAAUUGUUGAUGUGCCAAUUUCUGCUGGUGCCUACUUUCCCAGUGCUCAUGUAUAACUGUGUAACCUAGUAAACCAUUAAUGCAGAAUAUGGACAAACACUUCUAAGACCAAGUUUCAGAUUAGUCUGUACACAGUUGAAUGUGCCUAGUGUUCUCAGAGAGGAAGGAAGAUGUGUAUGACCAUCCUGCAGAGCGUGGGCGUGUAUGCUUGUCUUGUUUGGUCUGCAGUGGUGACCACAUUACUUGCAUGGAAGAACCCCCACAAUGAACUGUUGCUACUGGCCUUUCACCAGACCCUGCUUGUGCCCAGAGACCCCACAGCAGCCUACCACCAAGCUGGGCUUUGUUGUCUUGGGCUCACCCUCUAACCACUCCUGUCUGCCAGUGCUGCCCAGCCUGGGGAGCACCAGUGGGGGACAUCUCUCCUCACAUAGGAUAUCAGAGGGUGUGAGUCUUGCCGGCUGCUGGUGCUGCUCCUCUCCCCAUGGACUUGCCCAUCUGCUGGCUGCAGCUGAGCGUGCUGCAUCCCGCCAUGCCGCUCCACUUUCACACACUACCAGUGAUGGAUAGCAGGCUGGGGAAGCCUGUGAGGCUUCAUCUCGCCGUGCUUCAGCCCUGCCGGCACGCUGAAAUCCUGCCCUCACUGUUGAGAGACGGUCAUUUCUUUGCACGUCCAGCACUUUUCAAUCCUGUCUCAACCAAAUUUGUAUUUAUGUCCUGGGCUUUGCUGUCUGAAGCUCCAAGGCCGCCAGCAAUGGGAAGUUCUUUGACCCAUGGAACAGCCAAAGGACACCUGCAUUUUACUUGUGAACGGAUUAUGUGUGGAACUCCUCCUGUGGUGGUACCAAAGCAAUGCAAUGUCUUCAUAGCACCAGGAGUGCUCUCCCAGCCUGAAGGUGUGUCAGUUCCAAGCCAGCCUUUCACCAAAACACCCAGACGUUGGCAGCAUCAAACUCUGCUCUGAGUUGCAACCACACAGCAUGGCGUGACCUGCUUGAGCCGCACAGGUCUGCUGCUAAGUGGAGAAGGAUCCCAGUGACCACACUGGGACUACAGCAGCAGGAGAGGUUGUAUCUUUGGAGAGGCUCCACCAGGCUGCACUUACCAGG
ensembl:lncRNA